rnacentral:misc_RNA from 1 species
AUGCAACAUGUCGACCAAAUCUAUGGGUACUCUACUAUUAUUCUAGCCGCCGCGCCGCUGGCUUCUCAGUUGGCUAUUUCUGAUAUUCGAUGGAUAUUCUACUUCCCGUUUUUUGCCAUCCCAGCGCUCACCCUUAUGAUGAUAGUUGGUCACCUAUCAAAAUCAGCAGCAGUUUCGACAUUUCGGAAACUGGCGCCAAUAUCUGCUGGAAUCGGGUGGGCGCUAACAUGGCAUGUGGCUGAAAAACUGUACGCUGAAAGCCUCCGCGCCUCCCAAUACGUACUCUACAUCCUUUUCUCAAUUCGCCCCUACUUGUCAUGGGCAGUGUCAUGUGAUCAUACUUACAAUACAGAGUAUUGUCACGAUUUUGAUGACUCGAAUAUUACGGUGACGGAGGGCAAGCAUCAUUAUCCGGAUAAUUUUUGGCCAGCACAGGAAUUUAAUAGAUACGUAAUCCGCAACAACGCACCAAUAACCAAAAUGCCAGCAGAAUGGGAGCCCAACAUGUGGUACCUGGGACCAUCCGACGAAACGUUCACUUGGGCUUUUCCCUCGAUUCCCCUACAAACCGCCCAUAUUCUAACUUGGCUUAUUAUUUGGUUUUCAAUUUCCAAGUACUACGAUCGUCUUGGGGAUAUUCUUCUAAAGGGGUUUUUGUUGGUUCCCAUAAUACUGUACAUUGCCGUAAUCAUUGGGCUCACCGGCUUUGGGUUUCACUUCACAACUGCUAACAUUCAAGCCGAACUGGAAAAUUCUGCAAUCUCCAAAGAUCCCUUUGAUUUCUGGGCUGAUUUAAGGGGCUCCUACCGUACCUCCAUCCUUAUUGUGGACUAUUCUACAGCUUUUACCGGAUUCGUGUUGCUUGCCACUAGUCGGCUGAGAAAUGGAGUUUCCGGACUGAAUGCGCUGCUUUUGGUGCCAUUUAUGAUGAUCGUUCCAACAAUGCAAACACUCAUUCGGCUAGGAUGUGAAGGCCACGUGGCAGACCAACAACCAAACUACAAAAUCUACGCGUCCACCGAUGAGACUAUCUCCUUCGACCUUUUGCCGGUCUGUUUUGCCACGUCACACCUCGGCCCAGUAUGGUCCGGCCUUUACUACACAGCUCAGUACCUAUAUGGGUCAUUGGGGCCUAUGAUAGUCUACGUCUCCUUCAUCUACCAAAGCUUUAUCGAUGAUUUUCCAAUUGUGCAAAACUCGCCGAAACAGUGUAUUGGAAUGAUUGUACUAGCGUUCCUGAUGCCUUCAGUGUUUUUGUACAUGCCGCUCGGCACCAAAAUCGCCGCUUUCUUCCGAUACACAUCCCAAACUGCUCUAGUCCAACUUACAGUUUUCAUUUUGAUUUUCUUCGUCUACGGCUGGCAAAAGUUGGAGCAAGAUGUGAUGAUGACGUCACAGAUCCCUGCAAGACCAUCGGUGCUCGAGUACUUUACAAGAGCGACUAGCCCCAUUUUCACAGUACUCUUGUUUACUGUGGUGCCUGCGCUGAUUUGUACAAAACUCGUCGCCGUCUUCGACUUCCUGUGGGCUGGAAACGAUGUAAACAAGCAUAUCUCUGCCGGUGUCCAAUUCCUGCCAUUUCCUACAGUAAUCCGUCAAAUUGUUGGAUACCUCGUCAUCUUUGCGCCGAUUAUUAUUAUGGGCGUCGGCGCCGCACUUACCGUAUACCAGAUGGUCUUCAAGCACGGGCUGUCGUGGAAGGACACGUUGAAACCAUCUCCGGAAUGGAUGGCUCACGCCGCAGUAAACCCGAACAAGCCACGUGCUCACUCCCUGGCCUACAGUAUCAUGAAUCGACUGAUUUUCCGGCGGAUGUCCUACAAAACAGCCAUUUUUUCACUGUUUCUUUUUGAAACUUUUAUCGGAAUCCUUCUAGUCGUAUUUUUUUUCCUAAAUUCUUCAAAUCUUUGGGUAUCAAGUACCCGUGUCGCCAAUCAAUACCGUAGUGUUUUACUGCUCAUCUUUGUAGUUUGCCAUAUUUGGACACUUUUUGAAAUGCGGAAAUGUCAGCAAUACUCGCAAAUUGAAGGAGAGAGACUCUCCUUCUACAUUGGUCUCGCCACGAUGGAAACUGCAAUGCUUAACGCCUAUAUGUGGAUGUACGCAGGAGAUCAUACAGGUGGAAUUGAUGUACCACCUCUACUUAUUAUUAUGUGCAAUACGUGUAAGUUAUUGAUUUUUUUAUUGGAAAAAAUACGACGCUCCGAAAUUCCGUUUAUGAUUUUUUUCCAAAUUUUAAGUCUGAAUAAAGACCAGAAUAUUAAAUAUUGACUUUUAAAUUUUAAAAAUCGAUUUCUUAAACUCAAAAAUUCAAACUUCCCGCCGAUCGCAUGAUGCAAGUGUGCUCCAAUGAGAAAACCGCUGAAAAUUAGUUUUUUUUUGUGGGUUUUUGAAGAUUUUUUCUUCAUCAAACUAAAUUUCUACUGAAAAGACGCUAUUAUUUAUCAGAGAAAGCUGAAAAACCUUAACUUUAAACCAAAGUUUUAAGCUUCCCGCCGACCGCAAUGUGCAAGUAUGCUCCAAUGAGAAAAAUGCUGAAAGUCGGGUUUCUGAUGAUUUUUAUUGAGAUUUUUGAUCAGAAAACGGUUUUAUUUUGAAAAAUACAUUUUUAACGGUUUUUCAACUUUUUAAACAAUUUUGAGAAUUUGAAAAAUUUCCAAAAAUAAGCUUUUAUUUUUUGAAAAUUUUAAAAAUCUCAAAUUUUUCCAGGGAUCCGAAGUUGCUGUAUUGUAACAGCAAUAGCCAUUCGUGCUCAUUCUGUGGAGCACAAUAGGCCGUCAAAUACGCGAGAAGCCUCGGAAGUGGACGAGGCUGAGUUGCCACGUGGUGCCGGUGAUGAUAACGGAGAUGAUACGGACGAUGAUUCUCCAGUGAUUUUUGAUUUGGCUCGAGUUUGA